CCUACGGGCGGCAGCAGUGAGGAAUAUUGGUCAAUGGCCGGAAGGCUGAACCAGCCAUGCCGCGUGAAGGUCAGUGCCCUAUGGGCGUUAAACUUCUUUUGUGCGGGAGCAAUAAUGGUCACGUGUGGCCAGACGAGAGUACCGUACGAAUACGCAUCGGCUAACUCCGUGCCAGCAGCCGCGGUAAUACGGGGGCUGCAAGCGUUAUCCGGAUUUAUUGGGUUUAAAGGGUGCGUAGGCUGGGAGGUAAGUCAGCGGUGAAAUGCCCCCGCUCAACGGAGUGAAGUGCCAUUGAUACUGCCUUGCUGGAAUGCCGAUGCCGUGGGAGGAAUUUGUGGUGUAGCGGUGAAAGGCAUAGAUAUCACACAGAACACCGAUUGCGAAGGCAUCUCACGAAUCCGCGAUUGACGCUGAUGCACGAAAGCGUGGGUAUCAAACAGGAUUAGAUACCCCUGUAGUC
rnacentral:rRNA from 1 species